CCUACGGGGGGCAGCAGUGGGGAAUAUUGGACAAUGGGGGCAACCCUGAUCCAGCCAUGCCGCGUGUGUGAAGAAGGCCCUCGGGUUGUAAAGCACUUUCAGUGAGGAAGAACGCCUGGUGGUUAAUACCCAUCAGGAAAGACAUCACUCACAGAAGAAGCACCGGCUAACUCCGUGCCAGCAGCCGCGGUAAUACGGAGGGUGCGAGCGUUAAUCGGAAUUACUGGGCGUAAAGCGCGCGUAGGUGGCUUGAUAAGCCGGUUGUGAAAGCCCCGGGCUCAACCUGGGAACGGCAUCCGGAACUGUCAAGCUAGAGUGCAGGAGAGGAAGGUAGAAUUCCCGGUGUAGCGGUGAAAUGCGUAGAGAUCGGGAGGAAUACCAGUGGCGAAGGCGUCCUUCUGGACUGACACUGACACUGAGGUGCGAAAGCGUGGGUAGCAAACAGGAUUAGAUACCCUAGUAGUC
rnacentral:rRNA from 1 species